rnacentral:rRNA from 1 species
CCAGACUCCUACGGGAGGCAGCAGUGGGGAAUAUUGCACAAUGGGGGAAACCCUGAUGCAGCGACGCCGCGUGAAGGAAGAAGUAUUUCGGUAUGUAAACUUCUAUCAGCAGGGAAGAAAAUGACGGUACCUGACUAAGAAGCCCCGGCUAACUACGUGCCAGCAGCCGCGGUAAUACGUAGGGAGCGAGCGUUGUCCGGAUUUACUGGGUGUAAAGGGGGCGCAGACGGCAGCGCAAGCCAGGAGUGAAAGCCCGGGGCCCAACCCCGGGACUGCUCUUGGAACUGCGCGGCUGGAGUGCAGGAGGGGCAGGCGGAAUUCCUGGUGUAGCGGUGAAAUGCGUAGAUAUCAGGAGGAACACCGGUGGCGAAGGCGGCCUGCUGGACUGCGACUGACGCUGAGGCGCGAAAGCGUGGGGAGCAAACAGGAUUAGAUACCCCCGUAA